CUAUUUUCGUGAUAGUAAGUUCUCAUGAGAUCUGAUGGUUUUAUAAGGGCUAUCCCCUUUCACUUAGCUGUCAUCCUUCUCUUUCCUGCCACCAUGUGAAGAAGGAUGUGUUUGCUUUCCUUUCUGCCAUGAUUAUAAGUUUCCUGAGGCCUCCCCAGCCCUGCAGAACUGUGAAUCAAACCUCUUUCCUUUGUAAAUAACCCAGUCUUGGGUAUUUCUUCAUAGCAGUGUGAGAAUGGACUAAUAUAGGUAUUGACUUCAGGUUGCAUUCAAUCUUUCAGCCAAACAAGAUAUCUGAUAGUAAAAUACUGCUUCAAGGUGCUAAAUGGUACCCAAGUUGCCCAUUUUUUAUGCUCUAUAGGCAGGUUCUCUUGAGAACAACUGAGAAACUUUGCCUUUAGAUAUCAAGGGACAAGAUACCAUUUUAAAAUACUUUUGAUUAAAAAUAAUAAACAAUAUUAAAAGGCACUGAAUUUAAGGUCAGAAAACCUAGGUAGACUAAAUUCACUGGAUUUAAAGUCAUAAGAUCUUUGUGUGAUAGAAAUCUCUGAGCUUCAGCUUAUCCAUGUAGAAAAUGGUAAGGAUCCUCUCCCCCUCUAAUUUGCAGGAUAUUAAACAAAAGGUGUCUGAUUUGUGACUUGACUUGUCAAGCUGUGGGCUUCUAUAAGACCUCCAGAGAGCUCACGGUUCAGGGAAAGGGGCAGCCUUAGAAACUACCUAGAGAAGGCACAGCCUUAGAAACUACCUAGAGAAGAAAAUGGAGCAUCAAGAUUGUGCUUUACCCUUAGCAUCUCUGCUUUCAUCUUUUUUACAUAAUGAGCUUUAGUGUUUACCUCUCUGCUCACCAAGUUUUAUUCUACUCAAUGCUCAAUUCGAAGGCUGCCUGUAUCAUGAAGAUUCCCUCCAUCGAAACCGAGCUUCUCCUUGUAUAGAAAGACCAUGUUUAUUAAACUCAUUUGCUAUUGUAUGUUACCUUGUGUUAUUUUUUGCAUCUUUGUUUAUAUAGAUUUUGUUUCCCUAAGUAGCCCAAAUAUUUGAGAGUGGUCCUACCAUUGACCUUUGAAACCCCAGCAAUCAAUACAGUCCCUAUACAUAAUGUAGUGCCAAUAAUAAUGUGCUAAGUAUGUAAUUUUUUUUCUACUGCUUUUAGUUUUUUGCACAACCUACCCUACGGAAAAAAUUAAACACGCCCUCUUUCCCACUUCAACUAAACUUUUUGUUUUCUUUUUUCCAUGUUUCCUAACGAUCUUGAUGAGCAAUCAACAAAUAUACAUUGAACACUCUCUCCCUGCCAGGUGUCAGGUUAAGCACUGAGGAUCAAGGUCAACCAGACAGACAGACAACCCACCUGGAGACCCCAGCCUCUCGCGUCACCACCGCCGGAUGGCCGCGGAUAGCUGCCGGGAGUUUCCGUCUUGGUCUCCUUGGUUACCGCGUUACCUCGGUACCCAUAGCAACCAGAAAGCUGGGUUCUGCCACUGUCCGCCGGCAGAGGGCGAAAAGGAGCCUGCGAAAUGAGAGAGAAUGGUGAUCACAGGAAGGAAAAGGGCGGAAAAACUCAACAGGCUCUGGAAGCUUUCCGCCAGAGAGGAUCUUGGAGAUUAUGUAUGUGCUAAACCUGAGCAUGUGUCAUAUUCCAAGCACAAGUGAGAGACUUAUAUGUCAUAUUUGAUUCUUCCUCAUAGCAAGCCAGCUUAAAUCUAAAAAAAUUAAGGCACAAAAAAUUUGACUAUCUUAAUCCAAAAUUACAAAGCUAGCAAAUGGCAGACCUACAAAUUAAUUCAAGGAGUUUAGUCUCAGAACUCCCACAUUUAUGCUAUGUUUAAAUGAUUUAUCAAUGGCUACCAUAGGCAAAGUCAAUAGAGAUUCCAGGUCUCUUCAAAAGUCCAGAACUCUCUUUUCUUUGUACCGAAUACAUGACCCGUGGAGUCUAAUGGGUAUAAAACAAAAAGCAAAAGCAAAUAUAUGCACACACACACACACACACACACACACACACACACACACAGUUAACCCACAAUUCUCAACUCAACUCUUCCGAACAAAGCUGCACCUGUAGUGAAUUUAUCUUUGGCUUCCUAAAUAUGCUGUUUUUUAUCUCCCUUUUUAAAUACUGCAAGUAGGAUGUGUGGUUGGUACUGCACUGUAUAGGCUUCUAUGCUUAACCACAUUGCAUCUGUCUCGGUACCAGACUAACAAUCCUAACUAUUACAGUUAAUGUACUAAUCUUUACACCAUUACUUUUGACAUUACUAUGCCUGCCAAUACCCAUUUAAAAAAAAAUAAUGAUUUCACUUGGCAUAUUCAAUUAUAUAAGAUUACAACCACUAUGGAUAAGAGAAGACAAUGGUAGUCUUCUGGUUAUAAGUCUGGAUUUUGGAGUCAGGCAGAUUCAAGAUUGAGUGCCAGUACUGCCACAACUUACCUGCUGUGUGACCAUGAGCAAGUAACAAUGCUCAGUCUAACUGCUUAAAUGAGAUAACAGUACAGUUAGUCCAUACGUAAUGUAGUAUGGAAGAGUAAAUGAAACAAUAAAUAUUAAGUAUUUAGCUCUAAGCCAGGCCCAUAUUGAGUGCUUAAUAAACAGUAAGAAACAGUGGUGCUGGUGUGGCUAUGAUGGUUGCUAUUAACGUGUUCAUGGUAUAACUUUACCACGUCCUUCCUUUAACUUUAAUACAAGAACUAGUUUCAGGUGGAUGUGCGAUACUACUGGUUUUCUUGCACAGACUAUUUCCCAUACAGGCGCGCUCUUCAAAUUACCAAAGAUAUUUUCAGCUUUCGUCCAUUUACUGAUCUAUUCAUUUAUUUAUUUAUUCCACAAAUAUUUAUUGAAAGUCCAUUUCCUAGAUCCCAAAAAUACUGGAGUGAAGAAAUCGUCAAAGCCCCUCCUAUUUUCAAAUAUAUUUUAACAGGAGCAGAAAGGCAAUAAACAAGUAUAAAUGCAUGUCAGCUGCUAUGAAGAAAACUAAAGCCAAAUAAAGAAAUAGAAACUAAUUGAGUUCUGUUUUAGGGUAGAUGGCCAGGGAAGUAUCUGAAUGCAAGGAAAGAGAAAGACAUGGGCCACUAGAGGAAGAAACAGUCCAGAGAGAACAGUAAACACAUGUCAAUUAUGUCCCAGUAAAGAUUAUUUUGCAAAUAACUUCUCCUCACUUCUACAAAGGACUUUUACUCCAAAAAAUGAUUCUUACAAUGCAUUUACUUACACAAUAGUAAAAUUAAACUCAUAAAAAUAAUGUAUAAAGUAUUCUUGCACUUUUUGAAAGCAUUAAAAGAACAUUAUCUUAUAUUUAGAAAAAUAGCUUAUGCACAGUUAUGAAAAGGCAAAGCAGAGACAAAAACUAAGCCUAUGCUAAGUCACAUAGUAAAAUAAAAAGUAUGAAGUGCUUGUCUUUCAGAAUGAUGAUUAGUGACAAAAUGAAAUGAAACAUGUCAAAACAAUUACAGCUCUAGAGAGAUGAUAUUCUCUCCACUGAAGUAAAAUGCGUUUAACUGGCACACCAGCAAUGCCGCACACAGUUUACCACAACUAUAUCAAGAGCACAGUAUUCCUGAGGGUUUUUCCAAACUCAUGCUUCUUUGUGCCACAGUGGAGACAAGGUUUGAAUACAAGUUUUCUGAACUGGAGAUAUUCAAUUUAAAGAGAUAAAAAUUACCGGCAAUGCAGAAAUUAAGAGCACAGAUUUACAUGACUCAUUUUACUAAGCUUGAAAUAAGGGUCAGGGACUGUAAACAAGCAUUAUCCAAAACUUAGAAAUAAGGUAAAGCCAAAAACAGCAUGUCUUUUCAAUGCCAUACUAGAAUACUGUUUAAGAUAAUCUGAGCAUUACAUGAUUUUCUAAAAAAAAGUGUUGCUUUUCUUAUCAUUAACUAUUGAUAAAGUCUCUGUGUAAUGUUGUAUGUUUAUUUGAAGAUUUUUUCACCUGCAUUUUUCAUAUCAUUUGUAUCUGGAU
rnacentral:lncRNA from 10 species